GCGGGCGUGGCGGAACUGGCAGACGCGCUGGAUUUAGGAUCCAGUGCCGCAAGGCGUGGAGGUUCAAGCCCUCUCGUCCGCACCA
rnacentral:tRNA from 1 species